UCGAAAGCGUAUCUUAUCAUGAAAGACCGAAGCAGAGAGAACAACACUUAUUACUGUUCCUGAGUGAGAGUGUGACUUUAGUCUCCCUGCUUCGAGGACACUGUGUCUUGCGACUAUUACAGUUUCGCGUUUUAAUCUGGAGCCGGCACUCUAUCCCUGAUGACAGAGGAGGGACGCACCCACACCCCUCAGUGCGUGGUACUUCAGCACCCACUCUCUCUGUCUGGGAAAAGCCAAGCAGCCCCCUCCCCCAUCCCUUGCCAAGUGCCGAGCCGCUUCUGGUGGUGACGGGGUCAGGUACCUACGCUGCAGGGGGGAGGGUUCAGAGCGAUGUGUCGCUGCUGGUGCCGGCGGUGGCGUCCUGGAUGACGUUGCAUCGGAGUGGCCCGCGACAGCGAGGCAGAUCUGUAUCCAUCCACAUGAUGGGCAGAGCGUCAUCGUGACCCGAGCGUCUCCCACCCGGCCCGGCCCUCACACCGCCCACUGGUGUGGGUGGGGUGCCCGAGCGCCACCGCGAGGGGGAUGCGCCCGGUGGCGGCAGGCAUGGUGGGCGCGGCUGCGCGGCGCCCCGCGAAGCGUGGGCUGUGGGCGUGGGUGGGGGCCGUGCUCUCCGAUGGCUGGGCCAGCGCGUUGCUGUGGCGCGUGUGCGUCUACGGCUGCCAUCGGCCCACGCGAGGUUGGGCCUGUGACGGAGGAGGAGGUGUAGACAGGCGUUCGACCUCGUGUUGUGUGGCGGAAAGCGGGCACGUUUAAAAAGCAAUAGAAAACUGGGCUCCUAUUCCCCUUCGGUGUGCCCUGCACAGCGUUUGUUUGUAUAUAACGGCUUACAAGCGAG
rnacentral:misc_RNA from 1 species